GGCCUUCAUUCUUGCAUUCCUUCAGGUUAUUUCAAAACUUUAAAGGGAAGACAAAUGUUAGAAGUAAAAAGCUUUUUUUUUUUAUUUUUUUUAAGAUCCAACUUCCAACUAAAUGUUAAUCUUACAUGUUUUUCUAGACUGAGGUCAAAUCCAUCAUCUUUAACCCUUGGGGAUCGUCGUCCUCUGAUUUCUUCACUCGGCUUACAAAUCUUUUUCCUUAACAGAAUUUAAACAACCCUUCAAAGCACUUGAUUUUUUUUUUAAUUUUAUUUAUAUAUAUAUAUAUUUUUGAUCAGGACCCCUGCUGAUUCUGAUUGAUGCAGUGACUGGAAAUAUUGGUAAUUCUGGUGGGAUAUGGCUUAGGAAGGGUGUUUGAAUGUUUAUAAGCACAACACAGCUUUAAUUGUUUUGAUAAGUCAAAGCAGUUGAAAAGGUGCCUAAUGGGUAGUACACAUGUUGAAAUGGUCCUUUCUUCAGAUACAUGUGGAUUUACAUUAAAGAAACAGGUAUUUCCUGUUUUCUUUUUCUUUUUCUUUCUUUCUUUCUUUCUUUCUUUCUUUCUUUCUUUCUUUCUUUCUUUCUUUCUUUCUUUCUUUCUUUCUUUCUUUCUUUCUUUUUCUUUCUUUCUUUCUUUUUCUUUCUUUCUCCUUCCUUCCUUCCUUCCUUCCUUCCUUCCUUCCUUCCUUUUUUUGUGUUUAUUUUUUGUUGUUUGUUGGUUGGUUUUUCCUACCAGCCUGUAAAAGUUCAAAAUCAAGCCAGAUUUUGCAGUCUUACUGAGCAGAGCAGGAUGGAGCUAGUCCAGUCUAGAUUUGGACCAGAACCCUGGAGAAAGGUUCGCUUUCAGUACCCCAAGAUGUUCAGACCUAAGGUUUCAAACUCUGCCUCCUCUCUAAUGCGAAACAGUUUGUAUAUCUCCUCACAGACAAAGGGGAUAUUGCCCAGCUUGACCUCCCUCCAGAUUUAUGAUUGGAAGAAGUAUGAUAUUCAGGAAGCAAAUUCUCCAGACUGAAACACUGCCAGAAAA
rnacentral:lncRNA from 1 species